rnacentral:rRNA from 1 species
UACAGAGGGGGCAAGCGUUAUUCGGAAUUAUUGGGCGUAAAGGGCGCGUAGGCGGCUUGGCAAGUGGAAGGUGAAAUCCCUCGGCUUAACCGAGGAACUGCCCUCCAAACUGCUUCGCUUGAGACCGGGAGAGGUGAGUGGAAUUCCCAGUGUAGCGGUGAAAUGCUUAGAUAUGACAUAGAACACCCAUUGCGAAGGCAGCUCGCUACACUAUUAUUGACACUGAGGCACGAAAGCGUGGGGAUCAAACAGG